AUUACUUUGGCAGAAUAGUGCGCUAGAUUUAGGAUCUAAAUAAGAGUUUAACAGCUCAAGUAAUA
rnacentral:tRNA from 1 species